rnacentral:rRNA from 1 species
AGCGAACGCUGGCGGCAGGCUUAACACAUGCAAGUCGAGCGGGCACCUUCGGGUGUCAGCGGCAGACGGGUGAGUAACACGUGGGAACGUACCCUUCGGUUCGGAAUAACGCUGGGAAACUAGCGCUAAUACCGGAUACGCCCUUAUGGGGAAAGGUUUACUGCCGAAGGAUCGGCCCGCGUCUGAUUAGCUAGUUGGUGGGGUAACGGCCUACCAAGGCGACGAUCAGUAGCUGGUCUGAGAGGAUGAUCAGCCACACUGGGACUGAGACACGGCCCAGACUCCUACGGGAGGCAGCAGUGGGGAAUAUUGGACAAUGGGCGCAAGCCUGAUCCAGCCAUGCCGCGUGAGUGAUGAAGGCCUUAGGGUUGUAAAGCUCUUUUGUCCGGGACGAUAAUGACGGUACCGGAAGAAUAAACCCCGGCUAACUUCGU